ACUGUAAAAUGUAAUAGCUGAGCUUACUAAAAAGAUUAAGUAAACUUAACUUAUUUAAUUAAGUUUGUUAACCUUACUUAGUUUAACUAAGUAAUCCCAACUUUUUUCUAUGCAAACUCAAGUCAACUUGAUUAAACUUAACAUAUUAAUUUAGCUCAACUUAAAAUUUCAAGUAUUUUCAAAAAGGAUGACUGCACAGUAGGUGGCAGUAAUGCUCCCAAGGAGUAAGUGGUGGCUUAACUGAGUGGUUAACUGAAGAAGACGACAACAGCACAUGGUCGGAUAAGAGCAUGAGGAGCAGGAGCUUGUUUCUUUGAAGAGAGCCCAUACCCUUCAUGGAAAGUCAGUAACGUUACUGUGGAGUACAACCAAGUCGCAAGCAAAAACCUCAAGCAGGAAUUGUUCUCAUCCCUUGCUUAACAUUGUUUUUGAAGAUUUUGAAUGAAAGAAAAGUUUAAAAGCUCUCUUCAGUAUCUAAUAA